AUCUAGCCCCGAUAGAGCCGGUAUCCUCGCAUCCCGAUGGCUAUCGGGAUAAGAGAUAAAGGCGAAAGCGGGACGGGUG
rnacentral:sRNA from 1 species